rnacentral:rRNA from 1 species
GGUUAAGCGACUAAGCGUACACGGUGGAUGCCCUGGCAGUCAGAGGCGAUGAAGGACGUGCUAAUCUGCGAUAAGCGUCGGUAAGGUGAUAUGAACCGUUAUAACCGGCGAUUUCCGAAUGGGGAAACCCAGUGUGAUUCGUCACACUAUCAUUAACUGAAUCCAUAGGUUAAUGAGGCGAACCGGGGGAACUGAAACAUCUAAGUACCCCGAGGAAAAGAAAUCAACCGAGAUUCCCCCAGUAGCGGCGAGCGAACGGGGAGCAGCCCAGAGCCUGAAUCAGUGUGUGUGUUAGUGGAAGCGUCUGGAAAGGCGCGCGAUACAGGGUGACAGCCCCGUACACAAAAAUGCACAUACUGUGAGCUCGAUGAGUAGGGCGGGACACGUGGUAUCCUGUCUGAAUAUGGGGGGACCAUCCUCCAAGGCUAAAUACUCCUGACUGACCGAUAGUGAACCAGUACCGUGAGGGAAAGGCGAAAAGAACCCCGGCGAGGGGAGUGAAAAAGAACCUGAAACCGUGUACGUACAAGCAGUGGGAGCCUCUUUAUGGGGUGACUGCGUACCUUUUGUAUAAUGGGUCAGCGACUUAUAUUCUGUAGCAAGGUUAACCGAAUAGGGGAGCCGAAGGGAAACCGAGUCUUAACUGGGCGUUAAGUUGCAGGGUAUAGACCCGAAACCCGGUGAUCUAGCCAUGGGCAGGUUGAAGGUUGGGUAACACUAACUGGAGGACCGAACCGACUAAUGUUGAAAAAUUAGCGGAUGACUUGUGGCUGGGGGUGAAAGGCCAAUCAAACCGGGAGAUAGCUGGUUCUCCCCGAAAGCUAUUUAGGUAGCGCCUCGUGAAUUCAUCUCCGGGGGUAGAGCACUGUUUCGGCAAGGGGGUCAUCCCGACUUACCAACCCGAUGCAAACUGCGAAUACCGGAGAAUGUUAUCACGGGAGACACACGGCGGGUGCUAACGUCCGUCGUGAAGAGGGAAACAACCCAGACCGCCAGCUAAGGUCCCAAAGUCAUGGUUAAGUGGGAAACGAUGUGGGAAGGCCCAGACAGCCAGGAUGUUGGCUUAGAAGCAGCCAUCAUUUAAAGAAAGCGUAAUAGCUCACUGGUCGAGUCGGCCUGCGCGGAAGAUGUAACGGGGCUAAACCAUGCACCGAAGCUGCGGCAGCGACGCUUAUGCGUUGUUGGGUAGGGGAGCGUUCUGUAAGCCUGUGAAGGUGUGCUG